AGUGAAUAGAUACCCCGGUAGUCCACGCUGUAAACGAUGGGCACUAGGUGUGGGGGUGUCGACUCCCUCCGUGCCGAAAGCUAAACGACAUUAAGUGCCCGCCUGGGGAGGUACGGCCGCAAGGCUAAAACUACAAAGGAAUUGACGGGGGCCCGGCACAAGCAGCGGAGCAUGUGGUUUAAAUUCGACGCAACGCGAAGAACCUUACCUGGGCUUGACAUGACCGUGACCGUCCUGGAAACAGGGCUUUCCUUCGGGACACGGCCACAGGUGGUGCAUGGCUGUCGUCAGCUCGUGUCGUGAGAUGUUGGGUUAAGUCCCGCAACGAGCGCAACCCCGUCGCAUGUUGCCAGCAUUUAGUUGGGGACUCAUGCGAGACUGCCGGUGACAAACCGGAGGAAGGUGGGGAUGACGUCAAGUCAUCAUGCCCCUUAUGUCCAGGGCUACACACGUGCUACAUUGGCGCGUACAGAGGGCUGCGAUACCGUGAGGUGGAGCGAAUCCCUUAAAGCGCGUCUCGGUUCGGAUUGCAGGCUGAAA
rnacentral:rRNA from 1 species